rnacentral:rRNA from 1 species
GAUGAACGCUGGCGGCGUGCCUAAUACAUGCAAGUCGAGCGAAUGGAUUAAGAGCUUGCUCUUAUGAAGUUAGCGGCGGACGGGUGAGUAACACGUGGGUAACCUGCCCAUAAGACUGGGAUAACUCCGGGAAACCGGGGCUAAUACCGGAUAACAUUUUGAACCGCAUGGUUCGAAAUUGAAAGGCGGCUUCGGCUGUCACUUAUGGAUGGACCCGCGUCGCAUUAGCUAGUUGGUGAGGUAACGGCUCACCAAGGCAACGAUGCGUAGCCGACCUGAGAGGGUGAUCGGCCACACUGGGACUGAGACACGGCCCAGACUCCUACGGGGGGCAGCAGUAGGGAACCUUCCGCAAUGGACGAAAGUCUGACGGAGCAACGCAGCGUGAGUGAUGAAGGCUUUCGGGUCGUAAAACUCUGUUGUUAGGGAAGAACAAGUGCUAGUUGAAUAAGCUGGCACCUUGACGGUACCUAACCAGAAAGCCACGGCUAACUACGAGCCAGCCGCCGCAGUAA